AAAAACCGGAAGCGCGCGCACAGCGCGGCCCUCGUGGCACUUCCGCCGGCCGUUCUAUCCGGGGCCGUCUCUAUGGCCGCCGCGUUUUGCGAUGUUUAUUGUCGCGGGGACAGGGCCCGGGACCCGGAACAACAAAGAGCGAGAGCGACGGGGCGCGUAGCAACCGGGCCGCGCGCGGCGGAGCCGGGGACACUCAACCGCCGGCCCACGCGCAUGUGAUCUUCAUGGUAUGCUAGUGGGGAAUCUGAGUUUUCAACCACCCCAAUGGAUGCAGACAGUGAUGUUGCAUUGGACAUUUUAAUCACAAAUGUAGUAUGUGUUUUUAGAACAAGAUGUCAUUUAAACUUGAGGAAGAUUGCAUUAGAGGGAGCAAAUGUGAUCUACAAGCGUGAUGUUGGGAAAGUAUUAAUGAAGCUUAGGAAACCUAGGAUUACGGCCACAAUUUGGUCCUCAGGAAAAGUUAUUUGCACAGGAGCCACAAGUGAAGAAGAAGCUAAAUUUGGUGCCAGACGAUUAGCUCGUACCUUGCAGAAACUAGGUUUUCAGGUAAUUUUCACAGAUUUUAAGGUUGUCAAUGUUUUAGCAGUAUGCAACAUGCCCUUUGAAAUCAGAUUGCCAGAAUUUACGAAGAAUAAUAGACCUCAUGCUAGUUAUGAACCGGAGCUUCAUCCUGCAGUGUGCUACAGAAUAAAACCUCUCAGAGCUACCUUACAGAUUUUUUCAACAGGAAGUAUCACAGUAACGGGUACUUUAUGAUGCCAAAAUAAAUAUUUAACUUACUUUGUUUCAUGGGAGUUCAGUUAGACUUUCAAAGCAACAGAGAGACAGGGCCAAACGUAAAGGCUGUUGCCAGUGCUGUGGAGCAGAUUUACCCAUUCGUGUUUGAAAGCAGGAAAGAAAUUUUAUAAUUCACCACUUAAUGGUUAGGUUCCCUAACCAAGCACCUUUAAAGACUGCUGCACAUUGGACUAAAAGCAAAAAAUGGAAAACUGGACCAACAAUAGCUGAGGAAAUACAGACUCUUUUACUUGUUCAUGGCCACAGUGUAAACUCCAGUCCCUUUGGAUUUUAUUUUGAACAGUGCUGUAUUGUAAAAACGAAAGUUUACAAGAUAUGAAAUUGCUGCUUUUAAAAAGACGUUCUAUUUAUUUUUGCAGUAAUUUCUGUGUAUUCAUAAGCAAACCUGUCACGAUGUGCACUACCUUUCAAACAUUUUUUUAGUUUGAGCUUGUGUUUUAUUUUGUGAAUAGUCUUUUACAUUUUUGUAUGCUGAAUAUUGGGCACCAAAGAAGCUGUAAAAGUUAUCUUUUUCACUUGAUGAAUGUGCACAAAUAAAAAUUUGGAAAAUAUCUCUCUUAA